GGGCAGUUAGCUCAGUGGUAGAGCGUCUGUUUUACACGCAGAGGGUCACUGGUUCAAGUCCAGUACUGCCCA
rnacentral:tRNA from 1 species